rnacentral:rRNA from 1 species
GACAGAGGUGCCAAGCGUUAGGCGGAAUCACUGGGCUUAAAGCGUGUGUAGGCGGAAUGGUAAGUACCUUGUGAAAUCCCACGGCUCAACCGUGGAACUGCUCGGUAUACUGCUUUUCUUGAGCCACUUAGGGGCUGUCGGAACAAACGGUGGAGCGGUGAAAUGCGUAGAUAUGCGGAGGAACACCGAUGGCGAAGGCAAUCCCCUGGGCCUGCACUGACGCUCAUGCACGAAAGCGUGGGGAGCAAACAGG